ACUGCGUGCACAGCUGUCUCCCUGAGCUGAGACGACGGAGAGCCGAGGUCGCGGAGGCAGAAUGUGCAAGGUGCCUGGAGGUGGGGUGCACGGUCUCCCCGAAUCCCAGCACCAAGUCAUCUCCUGCAGCAGCAGCAGCCCCAGCCUCAGGACCCCCCGUCACCGAGAUUCCAGCAGAACCGUUGGAAAGCCACCAGCUCGCCCUCAGAAACAGAUGAGGUCUGAGCUCAGACUUCCCAGCUUCCUGUCCCCGGGGCCCCGCACCCCGCGGGCGGGCUUGCACACUCGACAUCAGUGCAAAGCAUCCAGGCACAGCGGGCUGGGGCUUGUGUCUUUGGGGCCCCAUCCCUGUGGGGGGGUAGGCAGCAGUCGAGACAAAGGCAAGCGGUGAGCUGUUUUGUUCUCGGAGCAGGUUAGCUGCCCGUGUGCUUGGGGUGGGGGCAGCGAGAGUGCGUGUUGUGCGGACGGGGCCUUGUAGGGACGUUCCCCGUUAGGUGGCCUGUUGGGGGUUUAUUCUUGCAGCCCGGAGGCCCGAGGCCCCAGGUCCUCCUGAGGCUGCGAGGGAGACUGUCCCGGCCCCGCGUGGCUCCUAGUGCCGCGGUGUUCCUCCCCGGUCCCACGUGCCCCUCUCCCUGAGCACCGCUCCAUGCCGCUCGGUCUCUUCUUCGAAAACACCGGUCAUGGGGUCAGGGGCCACCCCAAUCCACUAAGGCCUCACCUUAACUACUCACACCCGCCAAGAUCGGUUUCCACGUAAGGUCACCUUCACAGAGCCUUGGGGCUUGAACACCUCUCUGGUGGAUUUAAUUCUACUCGGCUGUUACGGCCUGAAUGUUUGUGCUCCCCCAAAACUCACGUGUUGAAACCUACCCCCACGUGAUGUCGGGAGCUGGGGCCCCUGGGGGCAAUGAGGUUGUGAGCAUGGGGCCCAGAGAGGGAGCUGUCCCUGUAACAGAGGCCCCCGCAGAGCCCAGCCCCUUCCGUGCCGCGUGGACACUGCGAGAAGGCAGCUACGUCCUGGAAGACGGCUCUCACUGGACCCGGACCGUGCUGGGUCCUGACCCGGAUCUCUGCUCCGAGCUGUGAGAAAGAGGUGUGCUGUUUAUAGGCCGGUCUGUGGCCUUCUGUUACGGCACCCCGAACACACGCAGACCCAGCACAGGAGGCUUUCUCCGGAAGGGAGGCACAGACGACCCCACCGUGCCCCCCAAGGUCACCUCAGAAGGUCACUGUGCUCAGGGAGGGGCCCUUACAGAGGCGAUUCAGGGGUCAGCCAUCACCCACUCUGCCGUCCUUGACAGAUACACGUUUUUUUCUUCCCUUCUCGCUGGUGUUUUUACUCAGUGAAUAUAGUCUAGCCUCUUCUUCUGACAAAGUAGGUCAAGACUGAAGCAAGUCUUCUGGAAGACCGAAAAAGCCUCAGAGUCGGCCAACGUCGGUGACAACCCCAGGCACACCCAGCCCCAUGGGGCACAGCCCCACGUGCGGGCCAGAGAAGACCCUGGGGUCUGGGUGCCCACCACUGGUCAGGGCCCCCCCCACGGUGCCACGAGCGGGGACGCAGGGCACACAAAUCCCAGCCCGGAGGCAAGAGACAGCCGUUCAACAGUUCACUGAGUACAUGGCGGGUUGAAAUCCGUUGGCAGCACAAGUCUGGGGGGGCGGAGGGGGCGCAAAUCUUCCAGGAGGAGUCGGUGUUUGAGCUGCAACUGGGGACCCAAGCAGGGUUGGCUCCUUGAUGCGGGAUGGGGGGCAGGGAGGAUGGAACGUUCCAGAAGGCCCAUGCCAGGCCGUGUGUGGUGGGAGGUGCCAGGCGGAGAGGCUGGCAGAGCCCUGGGGAACCCCAGCAUUUAGAAGUCAGGGAGACAAGGACGAGCUGGGCAGAGCGGAGGUCAGAAGGGGAGUCACGGACGCUGAGGGCCUGAAUGUCUGAAGGAACCCGCCCCACCAUACUGGCGGUGCAGGAAGACAGCGACAGGCGGUCUCGGUGCCACACGGGGGGGGCAGCGGGGCACGCAGAGGCAGGAGGCGGCCCCUCGAAGUGAGCACCGUGAGGUGUCAGAGACCCGGCCGUCGCAGCCCGUGGAGGUGGCGUGAGACCCCCUACACCUGGGACAGCUGGCGCACGGCCAUGUCCUCGGGACUCUGACGAGGAGCAGGAGGAAGGAGGGAAACGCAGCAGGGAGCCCCCGACGAAGCAAGAGAGGGGGCGCCCAGGAUCCGUGAACAGUGCUGCCGACGGGAGAGAACGUGGCAUUUCCCGUGGUGGCCACUGCCCUCCUUCUGGCAAAUAGAACCCUGACUUUGUCCAGGACAGGGGAGGGAUGGGGGUUACCUCACAGCACAGAGUGAGAACACUGCCUGGCCACAAUCAGUGGCCGUGAAAGGACCCUCAGCAGGACACCUCCCGGGGGACCACACGUGGGAGAUGGACACAGCCUCCACCUGACCCUGGCUCAGUGAGGUGAGGUGCAGAGCUAGCCCAUGACACUGUGAUGUUCAGUGUGCAGCUAGCCUGGGAUGGGGGAUGGGGGUGGGGAGAUG
ensembl:lncRNA